UGGGCCGUCGCCAAGUGGUAAGGCAACGGGUUUUGAUCCCGUCAUUCGCAGGUUCGAAUCCUGCCGGCCCAGCCA
rnacentral:tRNA from 1 species